GGCUUCUUUCUGGGCAAGGGGCUCCUUGGUUAUUGCUGAAUAUUCUGGAUCCCAUUCCAAUGGACCUCCCUUGAAAAAAGGGUCUUGCUGUGGGACACCUUGUAAGGACCCAGUGCUAGAAGACUGAGCAUUGUCUCACAGUGUUAUGCUGUAGGAUCAACAGAAGACAGAAUAAUGAAUCUGGGAAGAAGUGUUUUCUGGUGCCUUCAAUUCUACCUGAAGCACUUCCUGCAGGCAUUUCCUUGGCUUAUAUGAAUGGAAACAUAAGAAGAAAAUGUAAAUCUCAUUUUGAAAUACUCAUUAAAAUUACUUGUGAUUUA